UGGCAAUACGGAUCAAAAUCGAUCAAUUUGGGGGAAAUUAUAUUGGUACGACUGAUAGCGAAACAUAUGCUAAAGUUUUAUCGAUUUCACAAGUGUCAUUGGUGUCAACUUUGGUUAUGUUGUGUUAUUGUUUGAUUUUUCGCGUUUUUCUACUUUUCUGCUCGUGUAAUCGUAUCAGUUCUUUUCAGAACUAUAACAGUUCUUUAUAGAACUCCAAGUUAACUGUCCUGUACCGUGGUACGUGUCGCUUGCUUGAACGUAAACAUUCCACCAUGCCGAAGCCCUUGCACAAAGAUGUAAAGCAAAUGGACGAUAAUUUAGUGGACUAUUUUGCUAAAGAACGCGAUAGCGGGGAACCUCUUUUACCACUAACAGCUGUUCAAGACAGGGUUGCUGCUGCUCUGGGUGUAUGUGUGCGAACAGUGAACUCCGUGGUACAACAAAUAAAAACCGGAGAAGGUGUACAUUCUCCCAAAAAAUAGAGACCCCCGAACAAAGCAAGUGUGUGAUAUUAGCACUUCGGAGCAGUGUGCUAUUCGAGAAUGCUUAUAUGGAAUGGUCGAAGAAAAAAUACAUGUUACACGAUCGCCAUUAAUUGAUUGCUUGAAGGAGAAACAUAUAUUUGAGGGUUCUGUGAGCUCGUUAGGAAAAAUUUUACAUUCUCAAUUGGGUUUCGUUAUUCGCCAACCAGUGUACGGAAGCGUCUUAUGGAAUUACAACAUGUUGUUCAUGCAAG